UACGAAGGGGGCUAGCGUUGUUCGGAAUUACUGGGCGUAAAGCGCACGUAGGCGGACUAUUAAGUCAGGGGUGAAAUCCCGGGGCUCAACCCCGGAACUGCCUUUGAUACUGGUAGUCUCGAGUCCGGAAGAGGGGAGUGGAAUUCCGAGUGUAGAGGUGAAAUUCGUAGAUAUUCGGAGGAACACCAGUGGCGAAGGCGGCUCACUGGUCCGGAACUGACGCUGAGGCGCGAAAGCGUGGGGAGCAAACAGG
rnacentral:rRNA from 1 species